UACGUAGGGUCCGAGCGUUUGUCCGGAAUUACUGGGCGUAAAGAGCUCGUAGGUGGUUUGUCGCGUUGUUCGUGAAAACUCACAGCUUAACUGUGGGCGUGCGGGCGAUACGGGCAGACUGGAGUACUGCAGGGGAGACUGGAAUUCCUGGUGUAGCGGUGGAAUGCGCAGAUAUCAGGAGGAACACCGGUGGCGAAGGCGGGGUCUCUGGGGCAGUAACUGACGCU
rnacentral:rRNA from 1 species